AAUCAACGCUGGCGGCAUGCCUAACACAUGCAAGUCGAACGAGAAAGUGGAGCAAUCCAUGAGUAAAGUGGCGCACGGGUGAGUAACACGUGACUAACCUACCUCCGAGUGGGGAAUAACUCCGGGAAACCGGGGCUAAGACCGCAUAAUGUCGAGAGACCAAAUGCGAAAGCAGCUUGGAGAGGGGGUCGCGGUUGAUUAGCUAGUUGGUGAGGUAAUGGCUCACCAAGGCUAUGAUCAGUAUCCGGCCUGAGAGGGCGCACGGACACACUGGAACUGAAACACGGUCCAGACUCCUACGGGAGGCAGCAGUGGGGAAUUUUGCGCAAUGGGGGAAACCCUGACGCAGCAAUGCCGCGUGGAGGAUGAAGGUCUUUGGAUUGUAAACUCCUUUCGAUCGGGACGAUUAUGACGGUACCGGAAGAAGAAGCACCGGCUAACUCUGUGCCAGCAGCCGCGGUAAUACAGAGGGUGCAAGCGUUGUUCGGAAUUAUUGGGCG
rnacentral:rRNA from 1 species